UACGUAGGGGGCGAGCGUUGUCCGGAAUCACUGGGCGUAAAGCGCGCGUAGGCGGGAGUGCGCAUCCGGCGUGAAAGCCCCCUGCUCAACGGGGGGAGGUCGCUGGAGAUGGUGCUUCUGGAGGGCGGUAGAGGCAGGUGGAAGUCCCGCAGUAGUGGUGAAAUGCGUAGAGAGCGGGAGGAACACCGGUGGCGAAGGCGGCCUGCUGGGCCGACCCUGACGCUGAGGCGCGAAAGCUAGGGGAGCGAACGGA
rnacentral:rRNA from 1 species